rnacentral:rRNA from 1 species
UAGUCCACGCCGUAAACGAUGUGCACUAGAUAUGGUGGGUUUAACCCCUGCCGUGUCGUAGCUAACGCGUUAAGUGCACCGCCUGGGGAGUACGGCCGCAAGGCUAAAACUCAAAGGAAUUGACGGGGCCCGCACAAGCGGUGGAUUAUGUGGUUUAAUUCGAAGCAACGCGCAGAACCUUACCUAGGCUUGAAAUCCUACGAAUCUGAUGGAAACAUCGGAGUACUCUUCGGAGAAUGUAGUGACAGGCGCUGCAUGGCUGUCGUCAGCUCGUGUCGUGAGAUGUUGGGUUAAGUCUCGCAACGAGCGCAACCCCUAUCCUUAGUUGCCAGCAUUAAGUUGGGCACUCUAGGGAGACUGCCUGGGCUAACCAGGAGGAAGGUGGGGAUGACGUCAAGUCCUCAUGGGCCCUUAUGUCUAGGGGCUACACACGUAAUACAAUGGUGCAUACAAAGGGGAAGCGACCUCGCGAGAGUGAGCAAAUCUCAAAAAGUGCAUCUCA